CCUGGAAUCCACACAGAGGUUUUUACUUACAAUCGGAAAUGUUAUGUCCAUUUUUGUGAGGUAAACAAAUAAAUGCCCCCGUUUACUUGUGAAAGGGAGCUGAACAAGAAGUAGAGCAAAGUUUGUGUUUGUGAGACCCUCGUAUUGUGGGGCGAGGGGAGUCAUAGCAACGGGAACAUGCGAGUGGAAAAGGGUGUAUUAUUUUUUAGUUUCCUCCCCUUUGCUCGCUCAAGGCGUCCAAACUUAAUACUGAGGUUGUGAGCCCUUUGGGGGGAGAGAUGGAUAUGGAUGAAAUUGUGAGCCUGAACGCCUGGGAUAGGGCGGGGUGCAAAUAUUGUCAUGGCUGCUGGCCACAGCAUUCCUUGGGGAAGGGUCUUGCUUGUUAAUGACUACCAGGAUGACUGGUAGAUGUUUAGGAAGUAGCUGGGAGAUCUCUUUCUUGAGCAUUCUGAAUAGGAGAGCUAUCAGCUUGAAAGGUGACUCACCCCCUUCCCCCAGCUAAGAAGGGAAGGGGGGUUAAUUUGCGUGUGAGAGUAUGUGUGUGUUGAGAGAGAGAGAAGGAACAAAAAGAAACGGCUUGGAAGAGAAUCACAGAGAGCCCAGAGCCAGCAGAGAGUUUGCUGAAUACUGGAAAGCGGGGGCGGAGGAGGAAUUUGUUCCGUCUGUUUCUCGCAGCUCAAGAUCCAGUUCAACAGUCCCAAACCUUGCUUGCGGAUCGGAAUGCAGCUUGUGACUGGGCGUUGCACUAAUCCAGAUUCUGCAACGGCGUGUCGGGGGGGGGGGGAAGUGUGCAUAUUCUGCGGUUGAAAUGCGAAAUUUUACGGGAAAGCAGCUUGGGAAAGGAUGUAUUUGGGGGAAAGGCAUACAAUAACGUCUAAAAUUUAAAUGCAAACUUUUUGUCUAUUAUUUAAAAAAAAAAAAACUCAUGCAAAAUAGAAAUGGAACAGACCUAUGAUUGAGUGCCAGCCAAAAAAAAAUAUGAAAGUGGACGGAUUUAGGCUGGAUCUAGACGCGUCAAAGAAGCGAUUCAGUUAAAGGCGGCGUUGCAAACUCAUACAGAAAAAUCCGGUAAGGAAAGACGGGACUCCACAACGCCAUCUGGUGUCACAGUGUUGUAUCACAUAUGCAACACAUAUAAAACACUUUUUCUUUACCAAUCUAGCUGAGUCCCAGGGUCUGAUCUGUCCAUCCCUACUGGGAACAUCUGGGUGUUCAGGGGGCCUUUUUCCAAAGUCUGGAUAAGAGGUAGUGAAGUUGCUGCACAAUAGGAGCGUGUUGCAUGCUGCUUGCCUCCGCUUAUGGUCUACUUGUAAAUAAACCAAAUAUUACAAAACUCAUAACUGACUGAUGUUUUGUCUUCCAGAGGAAGCCAAACCUGGCUAGCAGUGCCCCUUGGAAUUUUUCACCUGUUGGGGAGGUGUGGAGCACAAAACAGUACGCAGUGCCGGCCCACUCAUGAGACAAGGUGAGAUGACUGCCUCAAGUUGCAGGAUCCACAGGGGCAGCAAGUCCGAGUGUAGAUCUUUAUUCUCCCCCACCUUGUUCCUGAUAUAGAUCUUCACUCACCCGUUCUUUCUGGCAGAGGGUGUGUGUGCCAUUUUUUGGUUCGCCUCAGGUGCCAAAAUGUACUGAGUUGGCUCUGACAAUACUGUAUAACAUAGGUUUUCAACCUUUUUGAGUCCACGGCUCCCUUGACCAACGACAUUAUUUCUGUGGCACCCCAACCAUCAUUCAAGGCACCCCAGGGUGCCACAGCACACUGGUUAAAAACCACUGCUGUCUAAGUAAAUAGCGGCUCGUCUAGUAAGCUUAUUCCUGAAGUAAGAACCAAACUGGGGACUUCUUUCUUCCUCGGAACCACUAGACUGGACCUUGGGUCCUGGCCCCUCACUUGCCUGUCCCCGCCUUCUGUGGAUCUGAAGCUGGUGACCAGUUUCCCAACUGGACCAGCCGUAGCUGCCACAUGAGCAGCGGAGACAGGUAUGUGAGGCUCUGGCAGGAUGGGCGACAACGGGUGCUGUGUGGCUCUGGCGAUAGGGACACCAUGGUUUGGUUCACAGGCCCCCAGUGCCUCAUGAGAGGCAGAAGCCUCGAGACAGAGAUUGAGAACAUGUGGUCCUCCAGGUCUUGCUUAACUCCCAAGCCCAUUGGCCAUGCUGGUCAGAACUGAUGGGUGCUAGGAGUUUGACAACAUCCGAAAACAGGUUCAACAUCCCUGCUGUAUAGGAUGGAAGGAAAGGGCCGAGGCAAAGCUCACCCGGUGACUGCAGGCACAUUUAAAGCAUAUGGUUUCCUCCAAAGAAUCCUGGGAACCAGAGUUGAUCCCUCACUGGGGCCAGGCAAUGUCAUCGCGACCAGCCAAACAUUGUGACAAAGUGAUACAUCACGAAGUUGAAAAGUGGAGAGAGGAACGAGCUGCAUUGGCCGCAGCCCCCCAAGGUGCCAGGGUGAAACCUCAUCAUGCUCCCUUGGUGCAGCUUGUUCCACUGGGCACCGGUGGUGAAGGGAGUCCGUCCGCUGCCAGCACCUGUCGCAUGAAGGGAGUCAGGCACAGGCAAGCCCUACCUGCGAUAUGCUGCCGAGUGAUGGCACCGUUGCACUCUGGCUCCCAAGCCACUCCUGGGCGAUGGUAACGCCAGUUUCCCUCAAGUCAGUGAUAAAUGCUGGCAAAGCAACCCUUAGUUCAGCUUUCUGUAUGCGUGACCACACCAUUGUGAUCACUUGCUACUGCACCAGCCCCGACUCCCAAGCCACCAGCUAGCUGCCCUGCAAUGGGAAAGCCGCUACCUCGUUCCUGAUGCGUGAGAAGGGGGUGGCGGCCUUUCCUAUAUGCGUUGCUCCCCCUGCCCAUCAUUGCCAGGCUGGCGAUGCCAAGUAUGUAAUGGCAACACAGCCUCUCCUAUUCAUUUCCAUAGCAAUGAUACUCUUCCCUCCCUCCUCUUGCCGGCAGAACUCAGCUAGCCAGGCCUUUUGUGGCUGGUUUUAAUUAAAAGGCUCUUAAGUGUGAGACAAAGGCAAAGCUGAAGGGGUCUGUGCAGGGGGGAAACGGGGAGGGGGGCUCCUCUAUUCUCUAUUCUUCCAGCCUGGUAUGCAACCACUAACCCUAACCCCCACCCCAAACCGUCCGGCAUCAACACCACCCACCUAGGGCAGGAAAGUUGGGAGCAGUCUUGCGCCUAGCUGUUGCGGUGCAACUGGCGGAGAGAGGAGGGAAAGAGAAAGGAAGGUAAAAAGAAUUAUGCUUUGAUACACAUCCGCCCAUAUGAAUCCAGCCCAAAUUUCCGCGUGAACUAAAUAGCCCCUCUCUACCACUUCACUGGGUGAGGAAAGUCUUUUAAGAUUUUCUACAGCGAGAAUCGCAGGCAGAUCAACAAGGUAUGUUUAAAUGCACAUUUAAAGCCUCUGGGAUUUCCCCCGGCAAGAAUCCUGGGAACUGUAGUUUCCCCCUAACAGAGCUGCGAUUUCCAGCACCUGACCAAACUACAUGUCCCAGGAUUCUUGCCGGGAAGUGGGGGGCAAACGCUCAUGUCUAUAAAAGUGCAUUGGCUAUGAUUUAGUGUGGCUCUGCAGGGAUGCUGCAGUUGCAAAGAAUUAUGCAUGUCAAUAUUCCCCUUCUCUGCACAGCGCCAAGUUACACACUGGGUCAAAAAUCCCCCCCCACUUUUUUUUUUAAAGAGGGCUCCAACAGACUUGCCUUCUUCCCCAAUAGCAAUGCCCUCCAAAAACCUUUUUUAUCCAGCGUAUGAUCAUAGCUGUCAACCUUCCCUUUUCUUGCAGGAAAUUCCCUUAUUCCAGCGCAGUUUCCCACUGCUGUCCAGGAUUGUUAGAUAUCCCAUAGACUGUUCCCGGGACAGGUGAGGCUGCUGAUCCCUUAUUUUCAAAUCUGAAAGUGGACAGCUAUGCGUAUGAUCCAGUAAAAAGUUACAACCUGUUCAACAGGACACUUGUAAUAUCUUUAUCUGGUUCUCC